ensembl:lncRNA
ACCAGAUUUUGGAGGUUUUCUCAGUCCGAGUCCUUGUCCACCAGGUCCAAAGCCUCCAGGUCCAGUCCCAGCACCACCAGGUCCAAAGCCUCCAGGUCCAGUCCCAGCACCACCAGGUCCGAACCCUCCAGGUCCUGUCCCAGCACCACCAGGCCCGAAUCCUCCAGGUCCUGUCCCAGCACCAGCAGGUCCAAAUCCUCCAGGCACUGUCCCAGCACCUCCAGGACCAGUCCCAGCACCACCAGGUCCAUAGCCUCCUGGUCCUGUCCCAGCACCACCAGGUCUUAUUCCUGUCCCCCGCCCU